rnacentral:tRNA from 1 species
CAUAAAGUAAGCUAAUUAAGCUUUUGGGCUCAUACUCCAAAAAUAGGAGCUAAAAUCUCCUCUUUAUUA